GUCUAAAUAGCUUAUAAAGAGCAUAGCAUUGAAGAUGCUAGGGAAAUAUGUAUUAUUUUUAGACA
rnacentral:tRNA from 1 species